rnacentral:rRNA from 1 species
UGGGGAAUAUUGGACAAUGGGCGAAAGCCUGAUCCAGCCAUGCCGCGUGUGUGAAGAAGGUCUUCGGAUUGUAAAGCACUUUAAGUUGGGAGGAAGGGCAGUAAGCGAAUACCUUGCUGUUUUGACGUUACCGACAGAAUAAGCACCGGCUAACUCUGUGCCAGCAGCCGCGGUAAUACAGAGGGUGCAAGCGUUAAUCGGAAUUACUGGGCGUAAAGCGCGCGUAGGUGGUUCGUUAAGUUGAAUGUGAAAGCCCCGGGCUCAACCUGGGAACUGCAUACAAAACUGGCGGGCUAGAGUAGGGCAGAGGGUGGUGGAAUUUCCUGUGUAGCGGUGAAAUGCGUAGAUAUAGGAAGGAACACCAGUGGCGAAGGCGACCACCUGGGCUCAUACUGACACUGAGGUGCGAAAGCGUGGGGAGCAAACAGG